UACGGAGGAUCCGAGCGUUAUCCGGAUUUAUUGGGUUUAAAGGGUGCGUAGGUGGAUUGGUAAGUCAGUGGUGAAAGUUUGCAGCUUAACUGUAAAAUUGCCGUUGAAACUGCCGGUCUUGAGUGCAAAUGAGGUAGGCGGAAUGCGUCGUGUAGCGGUGAAAUGCUUAGAUAUGACGCAGAACUCCGAUUGCGAAGGCAGCUUACUGGGAUGCAACUGACGCUGAGGCACGAAAGCCAGGGGAGCAAACGGGAUUAGAUACCCGGGUA
rnacentral:rRNA from 1 species